rnacentral:rRNA from 1 species
UUAAAUGUCCGCGGUAUCCUACCCGUGCAAAGGUAGCAUAAUCACUUGUUUACUAAAUAUAGACUUGUAUGAACGGCACCACGAGGGCUAAACUGUCUCCCCCAUUUAAUCAGUAAAACUGAUCUUCCCGUGAAGAAGCGGGAAUUAAAAUAUAAGACGAGAAGACCCCAUGGAGCUUUAAACUAAGAAUCAACUGCCCAAUCUAAUACCACCUUACUGCAGCCAUGACUCAAAGUUUUCGGUUGGGGCGACCACGGAGCACAACAAAACCUCCAUGAUGAAUGAACAUAAAAUUCUCACCCAAGAACCACACUACAAAGGACCACUAAUGUGACACCCAUUGACCCAAACACUUGAUCAACGAACCUAGUUACCCUGGGGAUAACAGCGCAAUCCAUUUUAAGAGCCCAUAUCGACAAAUGGGUUUACGACCUCGA